rnacentral:lncRNA from 1 species
GUUCUGGCCUCCGGCCAUGUCGGUUUCAGGGAAUGAAUGCAGCUCAUCGGGGUUGGUCUGAGCACCUUCUCCCGCUUGCUGUGCCAUCUGGCUGGCCUAAGGGCUGGUGAAAGUCUUCAACCUCUCUGUGUGAGUGUUUGCCUACAUGUAUGUGCAUGUGCUAUGUGCAUGCAUGAUGUCUACAGAGGCCAGAAGAGGGCACUCAAUUUCCUGGAACUGGAGUUGUCGGUUGUGAGCUGCCAUGGGGUACUAAGAACUGAUCCCCCUCUGCAGGGCAGCAAGCACUUCUAGCCCCUGGGCCAUCUCUCCAGCCGCACCCUGCUACUGUCUAGUCACAGGAAUAUGCGGAAGUGCUCCGGGAACACCUUCUCCCCCUGCUGCUGCUGACUCCAGCACUGCUGCAGGACCCGGAUUCUUUCAGCGCGGCCUGGGGCUUUGCCAGUGGAGAAGCUUGUCAUCCGAUGGGGCUCCCUUCCCGACCCUGGUGCUCCAGCCUCCAGUUCUGGGAGGUGGCGGGGUGAUGGAGUCAAGAACGAGGGUGGAAGGCCAGGGAGAGAGCAGCUCUGCACAGACAAUUACAAUGGGCUCAAAACCCCAGAACAUUUACCUUUUCCAACCGAAUGACUCUAUAAAAUGGACACCUGCCAUGUUCCUAACAUGAAUCACUGUACUUAGAGGCACACACAAGUGCAGUGCAGUCACGCCUAGUUGCUCACUGAUGUCUCAGAUCCAAUGCUCAGGGUUCAGUGCCUGAGCCAAAUGUUAAAGUUAUUUGU